GCAUAUCAAUAAGCGGAGGAAAAAGAAACCAAACAGGGAUUGCCCCAGUAACGGCGAGUGAAGCGGCAACAGCUCAAAUUUGAAAUCUGGCCCCAGGCCCGAGUUGUAAUUUGCAGAGGAUGCUUUUGGCGCGGUGCCUUCCGAGUUCCCUGGAACGGGACGCCAUAGAGGGUGAGAGCCCCGUACGGUUGGACACCAAGCCUUUGUAAAGCUCCUUCGACGAGUCGAGUAGUUUGGGAAUGCUGCUCUAAAUGGGAGGUACAUUUCUUCUAAAGCUAAAUAUUGGCCAGAGACCGAUAGCGCACAAGUAGAGUGAUCGAAAGAUGAAAAGCACUUUGAAAAGAGGGUUAAACAGCACGUGAAAUUGUUAAAAGGGAAGCGCUUGUGACCAGACUUGCGUCCGGUGAAUCACCCAGCUCUCGCGGCUGGGGCACUUCGCCGGCACAGGCCAGCAUCAGCUUGCCGUCGGGGACAAAAGCUUCAGGAACGUGGCUCCUCUCGGGGAGUGUUAUAGCCUGUUGCAUAAUACCCUUCGGCGGGCUGAGGUACGCGCUCCGCAAGGAUGCUGGCGUAAUGGUCAUCAGCGACCCGUCUUGAAACACGGACCAAGGAGUCAACCUUAUGUGCGAGUGUUUGGGUGUUAAACCCCUACGCGUAAUGAAAGUGAACGCAGGUGAGAGCUUCGGCGCAUCAUCGACCGAUCCUGAUGUUCUCGGAUGGAUUUUGAGUAAGAGCAUAUAGGGUUGGACCCGAAAGAAGGUGAACUAUGCGUGUGUAGGGUGAAGCCAGAGGAAACUCUGGUGGAGGCUCGCAGCGGUUCUGACGUGCAAAUCGAUCGUCAAACAUGCGCAUGGGGGCGAAGACUAAUCGAACCUUCUAGUAGCUGGUUUCCCCC
rnacentral:rRNA from 1 species